UACGUAGGUGGCAAGCGUUGUUCGGAAUUACUGGGCGUAAAGCGCGCGUAGGCGGCUCUUCAAGUCAGGCGUGAAAGCCCCGAGCUUAACUCGGGAACUGCGCUUGAUACUGUCGAGCUAGAGUGUGGAAGGGGCGAUUGGAAUUCCGUGUGUAGCGGUGAAAUGCGUAGAUAUCGUGAGGAAUACCAGAGGCGAAGGCGGCUACCUGGACAAUUGCUGACGCUCAGGCACGAAAGCGUGGGGAGCAAAAGGG
rnacentral:rRNA from 1 species